CACGUAGGGGGCAAGCGUUGUCCGGAUUUACUGGGCGUAAAGAGCGCGCAGGCGGUCGUUCAAGUCGCGUGUGAAAGCCCCCGGCUCAACCUGGGGAGGGUCACGCGAUACUGAUCGACUCGAAGGCAGGAGAGGGAAGUGGAAUUCCCGGUGUAGUGGUGAAAUAGCGGUAGAUAUCGGGAGGAACACCAGUGGCGAAGGCGACUUCCUGGCCUGUUCUUGACGCUGAGGCGCGAAAGCUAGGGGAGCAAACGGGG
rnacentral:rRNA from 1 species